UUUUCCAGGGAGUUUUGUCUGCAAUGACUCUUGUCAUAGAUUGCAUUGUCAAGGCCAUACUUCAGAAUCAGGAAAUAGGCACAAAACUUGUUAUAGGCCACAGCUGUGGAUAGGGAUGGAGAGAGAAGGAAGCAUGCCAAGACUGCAAAAAAGAAAUUAAUUUUUGUCAAGCAAGCUGAAGAUGUUCAAGGCAGCCUCCCAGGUCACUGGUGCAUGGGCUAUUUGCCCACCUGAGAAGCAGAAAUUUACCUAGCAGGGAAAUGCUGAAAAUACUACCGUGUUGUUAACUGUAGUCAUUUAAAAUGUCUUGUACACAGUGGUCAUUUGAAAGGCAAGGUAUUUCAAGGUGGUUUACAAUCAGAGUAAUUUAAGCUGGGGGGACCUCUGGAGAGCUAAGUCCAGCCCUCCACUGCAACUAGGAGGAAGUACAGCAGGUUGCCCAGAGCCUCAUCCAACCCAGUUUUAAGUCUCUUCAAAGAUAAGCAUUCCACAGCUGGACCAGCCCCUUGUUUCAGUGCUUGACUAUUUAAUUUUGAAAAGUUAUUUCCUAAUACCUCAUUGGAAUUUCCUGUAUUGUAGCCUAUGUUGGUGUCACUCAUCCUGUCCCUCUGUGCUUCCGAAAAAACUCCACAUGUUGACACCCCACCCCCUAUUUAACUGCCUUAUUUUGCUGUAUUAUCAUAUUUAUGCUGUGUGAUGGAAACAUAGAACCAGCAACCUUGUUUCCAAGAUAAGCUGCACAUUCCAACUCUUACCAUUUUAAGGGAACCAGAAGAAAAAUUAAGAAUAAAAAUUCAACAUCUAAAUAGAAGAAUUUUGCUAAGUGUCUUAUUAAAUACCAGUAGGAACAGAGCAAUAAUAUUCUACCUAGUUUUUUCAUGUUUUAAAAAAUACAUAUCUUAAAGUAGCUAAAAUAUAUAACCGCUGUUCAGACAGGGUCAAAAUGUUAUUACUGACAGUAGUCUAGUGAACACUUUUCCUCUUUUUUUAUGGUUUCCAGUCUAACUCUGAGUUGAUACUAGUUAAUUCGAUUUAAUAAGACAUGUCUUAGUUCAAACAUAACUUUGUCUUUAGAUGCUCCUUGAUACAUGUCAUAGCAGAAAGAAGUGCCUGUUUUGAUCAUGGUCUUAGGAAGUUCUUUGCCUGCCCCACUUCACUGCUGAGCAGCUGCUGAUGUAUAGGAUACCUUUUGUGCCAGUCAGAUACAUUGUGGGGUGGCAAGUUCAUGUCUGGUCAAGAAUACAUACAGCUGAUCACAAUAAAAAUUGAUUAUUCUACAUCUGAUGAAAUGCCAAACAACACUGGUGCCAGUGUUGUGCUUUGAUGAGCCAAGGACAAAAUGCCUGACAAGUUUUCCUGUAUAUAAUUUAGCUUUAUUUUGUUGCCUAGGGUGUGUUUCAGGUCACCUAAAUCUAGCUGUCUGGGCAGGCACCAGCAU